CACACCCCAUCCCACGGACUCUCAGCUCUUAGGAACUCACUCAGAGAUGUUUAAUACAGGAAUACCUGUUUAUGCUAGGAGGUUUUGUUCUUUCUCUUAUCUUCCUUCAAAUUGGUAUUCUCACUUACAAAUGCUAAGUGUCUCCGCCCAGUAAGAAGUAAACUUCUGCGAAAUAACCGUAAGCCACCAGGCACACAUGAUAGAGCAGGAAUCAUGCCCACUAAUUUACAUAAAAUGUCUCAUUUUAGGCUGAACACGCCAAGCUGCUUUCAGUUUCCAGGUCUGUCACAUUUUCUUUCUCUUUGGGGUCUUUUACCUGUAGGAAUCGCUAGCUAAAACCUCCUCCCCAACCCCACCUCUGCCAGGCCAACAUCUCGCCGUCCUCUGAGUCUGGAAUCCACGGUCUCGUCCUUCAGGACAAUGAGGAGUCCCUGAAAUUCACUCUCUUGGUGCCCUGUAUUCACCCUUUCUUUUCCCCGAGGGGAGGACAACUACCUGUUCUCUCCCCAGUGGGAAAGUUUGGUGAGAACCCGUCCUUCCUACCCGUCUCUCCUCUCUCCGCCUCAAACUCUCUCUCCCCCAGUAAAAAGGGGGAGAGCUCACAUGGCUAUUUUGUUUUUUUAUUAAUUUUUUUUUUGAAGUGGAGUCUGACUCUGUCGCCGAGACCGGAGUGCAAUGGUGUGAUCUUGGCUCACAGCAGCCUCCCAUGCAGCUGUUUUGAGCAGUGACAGCUGACACAGGGCAGGACCACUUGGCUCAAUGUCCUAGACUCGAGAUCCGUUCUCUGCCUCUUCUCGGAGCAGCUCCCAUCUUCACUGCUGGACGUUCAGCACCUCAGCCGGCACCUGGACAGGUGAGCUGUGUCUGUCCUUCCUCAUGAGGGUCCAGCCACCUUCUGUUCUGGCAGACACAGGGAGAAGGCGAGGGAAGCACAGGCUACCCCAGAACACUAUGUCUUUCCCAGAGGACUUACCUUGGAAGCAUCAAUACCCACUCAUGAAUGAGGCUUCCAUCCUCAUCUUGACAUACACUGUAUGGGUCUCUGGCUAUAGUCAUACUGUUGCACCAACCAUCACCACCAUCCACCUCCAGAACUUUCUCAUCUUCCCAAGCUGAAACACUGCGCCCACUAAACGAACGUCCGCAAGGUUCAUCGAUAUUGUAGCAGGUGUCUGCACUUCAUUCCUUGUUAAAGCGGAAUAAUCUUCCAUUGCACUGAGGCACCAUCUUCUUUAUUCGUUCAUUCAUCGAUGGACACGUGGGUUGUUUACACCUUUUGGCUGUUGUCAAUAACGCCGCAGCAAUUCCCAGGCUGGAUGAGGAAUUGUUAGUCUAAGAAACUGCUUGGCACAGCU
rnacentral:lncRNA from 13 species